AGUUGAGCUAGACUCUGGCUUUCACAGGCAGCGAGAUCAAGGGGGGGAGGAAAAGUCUCUCCUUUAAAAAAAAAAAAAAAAAAAAAGCGAUUUAAGCCCCUUUCCAGCGGCGCUUUCAAAACUAGAACUGCGAAGCUGGCUUCGGUUCGCGAUCCUCCUCUCUGGCUCCGGGCUGCGCGCAGAGUCUGGGUGGCGAGCGAAUGGUGCCUGCGAUCUUCUGCCUCGGGGAGCCGGCUGUCUUCCUUGUGCUAAAAAAACGGAGGAAGUCUGUCUGCCACAGGGCAGAGGGUGGUAUCCAAAGGGUCUCCUCUCCUUGAGUGACUGGUUCCUCCAUUGGAUCUCAGCUCGUAGCUCCUGACCUCAAGCAAGGUUCAUCGAGUGCUGUAGCAAUUGUAGAGGCGUCCGAGGGAGACAGGGGCCAGCGGGUUGGCUAGAACGACUUGCAACUAUGUUAAUGACUUUGGCCAAGUAACGUUUGAAGUUCAACUGAGCCAGAAUGGACAGAGACGAGUGCUACUGAAGUGGAAAUGUCUUAUAUCCUGUUUUGUGAUUCCCUGCCUCAGAGCUGAGUCACCCCUGCCUGAAGAAAGGAUCCUUCAUCCCAAGGCUCACUCACUUCCUAUCCAAGCCAUCUCAAGUGGCUGCAGUCACUUCCCGGAGGAGACCUGACCUUGCAAGGGGGUUUCCCAGAGAGGCAAGCAAUAUGUGAAUGCUCCUAUCGAGAACUUGAGGACUCCAGAUGAGUGAGACUCUUGAUGACCAGGACAGGGGGUGACACUCCCCCCCACCCUCCCCCAGACAAAAUAAAAACCAGCGAUCUUCCAGCCCCUUUCUCCGAGGUCUAAUUACAGAUGUCUUGACAUUCCUCCUGCAUUGAAUUUCCUUAAAAGACUUGCCAAGAAGAAA
rnacentral:lncRNA from 1 species